rnacentral:lncRNA from 1 species
UCGUAAUCUUAAAAAAAAGAAUUAGUUUAUAUUUAUUAAAUUAAAACCAAGAAUCCACAACUGAAUAAAUAUUAAAAGACAAAGAUAAAAGUAAAGAAGAAGAUAUAAUCUGUUAUCUGCAGAUCUGAUGUUCCCUUCGUGCUCCUUUUUUGAACCUUCAAUGGUCUUCGAAUUAUUUCAAUCUCCAAAUCUAAUAAACACUAGGGUUUUUCCUAAUCUACUCUAAUCUAAUCUAGUGGAAUGGAAUCCCUUAAUCCUUGUGAAUACUCCUCCUUUUAUAUCCCUUUUCAUGUGUCUUUAAGUCCUCUUUAAAGUCCUUCAAACCAUCAGACCGAACCAAUCCUUCUUGGACUUAACUUCUGAAAAAUCUCUUUUUUCUGGACAACUUAUCCCCGACACAAAUUUUACACUAGGAAACUUAGCCCCCGACACAUGAGCAGUACCAUAAAUUAUGAAAAUGUCAUUAAGCUCCAUUUUUCAUGUUUUGACCCUCUGAAAGCGUUUCCUACAACACAAACACAAAAAUAAGUGAAAUAACACUAAAAAUACUUAAAGUUAACAAAGAAUUAAGCCUAAAUAGUGUCCAAAUUAUAGGUACAAAAUUCACUCAUCAAAUACCCCCAAACUCAAGACUUUGCUUGUCCUCAAGCAAAAACACAAAAAGAAAUAAAAAUAAAUAAACUAACCUAACUACAUGAAUGCAUAUGCAUGAUCUACUACCUAAAAUGGCUACGAACCCAGCAACAAAUCAGUAUGAUAUCUAGCAACAGGCCUCAAAGAUACCACUAUAAUAAUCAAAUAGCAUAUCCAAUCAAUUCAAAGUCCAUAACCGUAACCAAUCAGUCAAUCCCAACCUGUCAUCAUCUAUGUUGUGCGUGUGUGCUUGUUAAUCAUUCUAACCAACCAUAGUUCAAGAUUAGCCACAUAACAAACUUCUUAGAAGAAAAUUUUCAGUUCUAAUUCAAGUAUCUCUGCAACCACGAAAAUUUUGGUUAAGACUAAGCAAAUACCAAGUCUAAGGGUAAAUACAGGAUUUAUUUCUACCUUAUCCAAUCAUGAGGGCAUUUUUGCUCUUUUAGGCUUUUCAAUGUUACCCAUAUAAUGAACUUUCGACAAAUGACUCCCAAACUAGAUGGUCUUAGGACGCUUGGUGUAAAGACAUCCCCUAGGGCUUACUUGUUUAAGUAACAAAGGCCACAGAACCAAACUAGUCAAUGACCUUAUUCAUAUAUUUUUAUAUUUUUUUCUUUUUCUCGAUUCUCUAUUUUUUUUAUCAUUUUUAUAUAUAUACCCCAUAGAUUCUCCCAAACUCAAGCUUUUACCAUAUUUUAACCUUUAUUGCUAGUUCACUACUUUCUUUAAAUUUUAACCAAGAUUUUUCCCCAGAAAUAAAUUAUGAAACCCUUGAACCAAGUUGAUUAAAACAGUUAAAACUUUAAGUACUAACCAGUUACAUAAGUUUCAGACAGGCUCAAAUUUUCAUCUCGAUUAAAAUUAAAACUCAUCAUCAAUCAUCAAUAUUGUUCAAGUUAACAUAUAAAACCAAUCUUAUCAUAGGCCAAGCCAAAUUCAAACCAAUCAAUUGCUUAGAUUCAUGUAAACAUUCUAAAUGCAAACACUCAAUGCAAAAGAAAAUAUUUUUGUGAUUUUUAAAUUUUACUUUUUUUUAUGAAAUAUGCCUAUAAUAUGCAAAACUAACUAACCAAUGCAAUGUAUGUGAACUAAAAAAAUUAUGUAAUGCAAUAGAAUCCAACCUCAAACUUAAAGUGAACAAUGUCCUCAUUGUUUAAAUAGAAAGAAUUAAAACUGAAAACUUCCCUGAAUGGUCAAGCGUCAUGCUCGACCUCCGCAUCAUAGAUGUCUGGUGGUGGAUAAACUGGCGAUGGCUGCGAGAUAGAAAACUGAAGGGGCUUGGCAUUAAGGUUCAUUCUUGCACGCAUCUCUGCCUCGACCCGAACAAAUCUUUUUCUGUUGAAUUCUCAUAUCGGUGUCUAUUGGCAGCUAUAAUACUACCACACUUAAGAAAAAGAAUUUCAAACUAGGUGGACCACUGAUGAAUGCCUUGUGAAUAUGCAUAUAGGCUGCUUAGUCUUUGAAACCCUCUAACAAACACCUUGUGUACCGACUGCACUGUCGUAUCAAACCCUCCCCCAAACUCGGUUGACAACCACUUUGGAAAUUAUACAGCCAAUUACCACAGUUCAACCAAAAUAAAUCCAAACAUUCAACUUAAUUGGUCCACAAUCUAUUCUAUGCAGGUUUACAGUCAAUAUAUACCCACAUUGCAAAUCUAAGUUCAGUACUGUCACUAUCUAAGAAUGGUUGACUAAGUUAUAUGGAUUACAUUGAUUGUGGUUGGAGUAGCCUGAAAUCAUGAGUGAUCCUAUCAGAAUGCAUAAUUGUUUCCCAGAGUUGGUUGAAACUGCACUAGAGGUUAAUCCGUGUGAACUCCCCUAAUUUGGUCUGAUAGAACCCUAGUUUGGAGAUGAAUUCCCUUGAUGGCGAUGUUGAUUAUUCUGUUGGAACAUUGGUUAGCUUUUUUUUGAAGCAAAUCUCUCGUUGUGUGAUCGUAUCCAAUUCACUUUCCCUUCUAUUUGUUAGGAGUUUCAAUUCCUGGUUGCCAAAAUAUGUGAUGCUACUGAUAUUGCUAAACCCCAAAAUUGUGAAGUGAAACCCUACAAUUAGAAUAUGGGUAGAGGUUGGAUAUGUUGUGAAUGCGAUUUUGGAAGAGAUUAGAGAUGGAUAUGGUGACGAUUUGAUGAGAGAAGGUUGAGGGGAAGUUUUCAAAAGUUAGGGCUCUGUUUUAUGUUUGAGGAAGGGGAGGAGUUGUUCUGAAUGCAAAUAAGGGAAGUAUUUUUAAAAAAACUAUGAAAUCGCGUUUCUCAUCGGGCCGCACAUUUUUAUUCAGUAAAUUUU